CCCUUAGAUGUUCUGGGCCGCACGCGUGCUACACUGAGUGGAUCAGCGGGUCAGGUUGCGCGAAAGCGUUUCCUAAUCUUUAAAUCCGCUCGUGAUGGGGAUUGACGGUUGCAAUUUUCUGUCAUGAACGAGGAAUACCUUGUAAGCGCGGGUCAUCAUCCCGCGCUGAAUACGUCCCUGCCCUUUGUACACACCGCCCGACGCUCCUACCGAUUGAGUGGUCCGGUGAGGCUUUGGGAUCUGAGCGGAAAGAGCGUUUCGCUGUUUCUGCUCGGAAAACUCAGUCGAACCUUAUCAUUUAGAGGAAGGAGAAGUCGUAACA
rnacentral:rRNA from 1 species